UUAAAAAAAAGAAGAAAAAAAAGUUAACUUUUUUUUUUCUUUCCCGUAGUAUUUUUUUUUAACAACAUGAAUAAGAAUAAAAAGCGAAGAAAAAAAAACA
rnacentral:ribozyme from 14 species